rnacentral:misc_RNA from 1 species
GAUGAAGAACGUAGCGAAAUGCGAUAUGUAAUGUGAAUUGCAGAAUUCAGUGAAUCAUCGAAUCUUUGAACGCACCUUGCGCUCCUUGGUAUUCCGAGGAGCAUGCCUGUUUGAGUGCCAUGAAAUUCUCAACCUUUUCAGCUUUCUUUGUUGAUCAGGCUUGGAUGUGGGAGUAUGCGGGCUUCUCAGAAGUCGGCUCUCCUGAAAUGCAUUAGCGGGACCUUUGUUGCCUGGCUUUGGUGUGAUAAUUAUCUACGCCAUUGUGGUCAAGCAGCUUAAAAUGAGGUUUCAGCUUCUAACCGUCUCCCCUGAGACAACUUUUUGACAAUUUGACCUCAAAUCAGGUAGGACUACCCGCUGAACUUAAGCAUAUCAAUAAGCGGAGGA